rnacentral:lncRNA from 1 species
GCCAGCGCCCAUGUCAGACGCUAUCAGCCUGCCUCCUGCAGGCGGGCACAUCAAACAAUAGUAAGUUUCCCUAUAAAUACCCUCUCGUUCAUCAUAGAAGGGGAGGUCACACAUACAAACACUUCUUUUUCUGAAACCCCCUCCACAUCUUCUGCUAACUUAAUCGUCGUAGGGGUCGGGUCGAGCCUCCCGACCCGACCUUUGUGCAGGUGCGAAGCCGUGGGUCCCCGCCGGCCGCGCGGACGACGAGCCCUUGCCCGGAGGAGACGACGAUCCCGUCCCGCCCGACCCAACCUUUGUGCAGGUGCGAAGCCGAGGGUCCCCGCCGGCCGCGCGGACGACGAGCCCCUGCCCGGAGGAGACGACGACCCCGUCCCAAUCGGAACACCACACCGGACCGACCCCGCGGGCUCGAGACAUGCCCCGGAGAGAUCCCCGACGUCCGGAUCCGAACCGAGCCACGUCGGUCCCUAGGCCACGGAUCUCAAAGUUGUUUCCCACAACACCCACAGUAAGAAAAAAAAUCUCAUUAAAAACUUGAAUCGUACAUAAAUAAGAAGUCACAACACGAUGAUGAUCCUCCUAGAGAAAAUCCAAAAAAUUUGCCCAAAUACAACAAAAACAGGAAGUAAUAAUAAUAUUAGAAUUACAAAAUUAUCCUUCCUCUUCUUUGCAAUCGUUGCCACGAGCACAGGGCUGGCCAACGACGGAGAUUGACAACCGAACGUCGGAGACGAGAAGGAGGCUGUACUUGGUUGGAUUUGGGCUGAAGCGGAUCUCUCUCGACGUCUUCCUCACGUCUUCUUCUCUCUUCUCCCCUUCCCGUUUGCUUGCCGCGCUAUUGUUCCCCAAAGUUCCAUUUAU